UUCUUCCCUUUUAUAUUUGCUAAAAGAAAGGUAACACUGUAACAGACUAACAUAGAACAUCUGGGCGUGUUUUUUGGCCUUUUUUUUCUCUACCAUGCCCAUGCCCUGAGUUUUCCAUUCAAUCUUGGUUUUUGGCUUUCUCUACUCACAAGAGAUUGGAUGCUCUAAUUUUGUGGUUUAUGGCUUGGUGCUGUUCAAUUCCACUCAGAUUUUAGUCAGUUUUUUCCUCCAACGUGGGGUCAAGGAUAUGAUGGAGCUAGCAAUAUGCGUGGAGAGUGGAAUGGCUUAAAAACUUUGAUUCUUCUAGAAUGUCCUUAUGCAUAUUAUGUACAUUGUUUGGCUCAUCAGUUACAACUAGCUCUCGUUGCUACAUCUAGCACUCUUAAGCAAGGGAUUUGUUCAAUAUUAUCUCAUCACAAUCUCAACAUUCAAAAUAUCAGGGGCCAAUGAUAUGAUGGAGCUAGCAAUAUGCGUAAGGAGUGGAAUGAUUUAAAAGCUUUGAUUCUUCAAGAAUGCCCUUAUGCAUAGUAUGUACAUUUUUUGGCUCAUCAAUUACAACUAGCUCUCGUUGCUUCAGCUAAAGAAGUAGUUAAUGUUCAUGGUUUUUUCCAAAACUUGGCUAUGAUUGUUAAUGUUGUGUCUUCUUCUUGUAAACGCAAUGAUGAGUUGCAAAAGGCUUAUGCAACUGAAAUUGCACAUUUAGUUGCAAGUGAUGCGAUUGAAACUAGAAGGGGGGGGGGGGGGGGC